AUUAUUCUCUUUGAUCGUUAACCAUUAUCAUCAAUUUUUUUUUCCUGAGAUCUCACCUCCUUUACCUUGCACAAAAUUUUCUAUCGAUAAAAACAUAAACGGAAAAGAAGCUUGAAAAUCAACGUGAACAGUGAACGCGGUGAUCCAUUCUCAGCCCACACCGCCGUCGUGAGCAAACAACGAAGUGGCUGGCUCCUCCACACUUGAGACACAACAGGAGAAGAUGAAAUGUGAGGUGUAGUACAAAUGUACUACAAUAUUGUGAAGAGGAGUACAAAUGUACUACAGUAGUACAGUGCAAUACAUAAGCAAAUGUACUAUAAAUUCACUGUUAAUUAAUAAUAGGUUUGUGAAAAAAAUCGAUUCCAUUCAUGAAUAGGUUUGUGAAACUCAAAGGUUUCUUAAGAUCAUCGAUUCCAUUCAUGCCUAUUUUCGUGUUCACAUGGAAAAUAGACGUGAAUGGGAUCAUGAUCUUAUGAAAUCUUUGUUACAAACUCAACAAGCUCAUGUAAUGUUACACUUACACCUGGUAUAUACAGUUACAUCUUCAUUGUUUGCUGCUACUUUAUCACCUAGUUUGGUUGCUUCAUCGCCCUGUCCUAUGUUUUCGCUGCUGUUCUGCGCCAGAUUUGACAGUUUAGGUGGAGUUUUGGGACCAGGUACUGUGUCUGUGUAUGUUUUGUUGUUCCCGAGUGUUGUUGUUUACCUUGUAUUUGUUUUAAGUAUGUAACUUUGGUGAUGUUGUUGUCUGUCAUGGUUUUGUUAUGAACCACACCAGUGUGUGAAGGUGGUGGAUUGGAUCUUAUGUAUAGCUGUUUUUCUUUGAGUUCUUUUUGUAGGAGCAACAAAGUCUUGGUCCCAAGAUGAAAAAAUAGACGCGAAUGAAAUCGAUGAUCUUAAGAAACCAUUGUUUAGCCUUAGAAGAGGCAAAACACCUCGAUACUAACCAAAUAAUUGAAGCUGUCGAAGAUUCUGACUUUGGAGCAGAACUUGUUUUAAGUUAAACGAAUGACAUGAACAAAGCGAAUGAAAUUCAUAUGAACAGAAACCAAGUUUUGUUAAGCCUCUUAUUUUCUGUCCCUGUGUCUGUGUUUUCCAUGAUUCUUCCCAUGCUUCAUCCAUAUGGUGAUUGGUUAAACUAUAAGAUUCAUAAGAUGUUCACUCUUGGGUUGUUCUUAAGAUGGAUCCUUAGUACUCCUGUUCAGUUCAUUGUUGGCAAAAGGUAUUAUGUGAAUAAUGAUUUAAUCCUAUUUUGGAAAAAUACGUUAUCCGGUUCUUUUAAGUCCUAUUUCGUGUACACCAUUACCCUUUUCAUUUCAUUGUGCGAAAAAGGGUAAUAGUGCACACAGAAUAUAUACACAUAAUACAAAAGAAUGACAUAAUUAAGAUUGUUCCUGGUGCUAAAAUUCCUGUUGAUAGUAUUGUUAUAAAAGGGAAAAGCCGUGCAAAUGAAAGCAUGAUCACAGGUGAAUCAAGACCUGUUAAUAAAAUUCCAGGAGAUAAGGUUAUCGGUGGGACAAUCAACGAGAAUGGUCUUUACUUGGUCAAGGCAACUCAUGUUUAUCAUUUAUUCUAUUAAGGAGAUAUCUGGAGAUUAUGGCUAAAGGGAAAACUAGUUUCGGUUUAAUGGAGAAGUCUUGGUCUGCAGAUGAAAAAGUAGACUCAAAUGGGAUCGAUGAUCUUAAGAAAACUUUGUUACAAACUCAAGAAGCUAAUGUUACACCUGACCACACAUGUGCCAUCUGCCUUGAAGACUGUUGCGUUGGAGAGAAGCUCAGGAUUCUUCCUUGCUGUCACCAGUUUCGUGCUACCUGUGUGGAUUCUUGGUUUAAUUUGUGGAGAACCAUUAGCCCAGUUAGCAAGCGUGAUGCAAGAAUGGGUUUUGAUUGAUCCAUGGCACACUUAAGAACAUCAUGGUUUUGCCAAUUCACUGAUGUUGGUAUUAGUGAGGUUUUUGUUUAGAUAGAUCCUCUAUGAAAAGCUGAUACAGUCAAAAACUUGCAUGAGAUAAACCAUAAUUCAUCUGUAAAGGAUUUUUUUAUUUUUUUUUUGCAAAACAUUAACAAGAAACCUUUGCAGAUGGAUUACGAUUUAUCUCUUAUUUAAGACCAUUUUUUUAAAAUAGAUAUUUAAGACCGUGUUUUGGCUCCUUCAAGUGUCAUUUUUAGGUUUGUGAAAACAGGGGAAAAUUGGACUACGGAUAAAUCAUUUGUGUGUUUAAUCUAGAUUUGGAUUAUUGUAGUUUCUUAUAGGUUUCUUUGCUUGUAAUUUAGGCCUGACUAUUAAGAUGUUUGGUUUAUUUAAGGCUUUGCCUUUGCCAUAACAAUGUACCUUGGUGAUUUAUAAUAUUAAGCUUGUAUUGAAUGU